ACAUACUCCUCAACUAACGAAAAUAAAAGCUUCACCUCUCCGAGUAUUUACCAAAUCGGAAUAGCAAGAAUGGAAUUGAAAGAAAAUGGAGUUACGAGUAGAACACUAAGGAUAAAUAGACAAAAUAAGAACCAAGAUCGAAUUGAAUUUUGUUUGCAAAAAGGGAUGCAAGAAACAAAGAACCAGAAAGGAAAAAUUAGAAAAAAAGUGAAAAAAGAAGAUGAAAAAUAAAGUGAAAUCAACGUGAGAAAUUUAGGGAUUUCCUAAGGAAUAAAAUUAAAACCAAUCCCACUACUAACCACCACCCACAUCUUAUAAUUUCAAUUUGACCCCAUUCUACCAUGUGGACCACACAUACAAGAAAUAAAAA
rnacentral:lncRNA from 1 species